rnacentral:rRNA from 1 species
GACGAACGCUGGCGGCGUGCCUAAUACAUGCAAGUCGAACGCAGUUGCGAACGGGUGAGUAACGCGUAGGUAACUGCCUCAUAGCGGGGGAUAACUAUUGGAAACGAUAGCUAAUACCGCAUCCUGUGAGCUGGACCUGCUUUGUAUUAGGUAGUUGGUGAGGUAAAGGCUCACCAAGGCGCCGAUACAUAGCCGACCUGAGGGGGUGAACGGGCAAAAUGGGAACGAUGAAAGGCCCAGACCUCUACGGGAGGGAGAAGGAGGGAAUCUUCGGAAAUGGACGGAAUGCUGAAUGAGCAACGCCGCGGGAGUGGAGAAGGUUUUUCGGUCGGAAAGCGCUGUUGUGAGAGAAGCGGUAACUAAACAGAAAGGGACGGCUAACUACGUGCCAGCAGCCGCGGUAAUAC